rnacentral:rRNA from 1 species
UACGAAGGGGGCUAGCGUUGCUCGGAAUCACUGGGCGUAAAGGGUGCGUAGGCGGGUAUUUAAGUCAGAGGUGAAAUCCUGGAGCUCAACUCCAGAACUGCCUUUGAUACUGAGUAUCUUGAGUACGGGAGAGGUGAGUGGAACUGCGAGUGUAGAGGUGAAAUUCGUAGAUAUUCGCAAGAACACCAGUGGCGAAGGCGGCUCACUGGCCCGUUACUGACGCUGAGGAGCGAAAGCGUGGGGAGCGAACAGG